rnacentral:ncRNA from 1 species
CUCCAGUCUGGCUCUGUGCGGCGACAUCUGAGGUGUAGUAUAGGUGGAAGCGCGAGCACAAAUGAAAUACCACCACUCGGAACGUUGCUUCACUUAUCGAAUGAAGAGAAGAAUGGGUUUCGCGUAGUCUGUGGGCUAUGCACCGUCUAGGUUUGGGAUUUUAUGGCGGCAACCCCGUCUCCACGGGAGGUGGCGCGUGUUCGCAAGGGCAUGUGUCCCCGUUUNAAAAAAAAAAAAAAAAACCCAAAAUAACAAAAGGAGACUUGAGGACGGGUUCUGGGUAAGAAAAGUGAGAGUAGAGAG